CCUACGGGAGGCAGCAGUGAGGAAUAUUGGUCAAUGGACGAGAGUCUGAACCCGCCAAGUAGCGUGAAGGAUGACUGCCCUAUGGGUUGUAAACUUCUUUUAUAUGGGAAUAAAAUGUUCCACGUGUGGGAUUUUGUAUGUACCAUAUGAAUAAGGAUCGGCUAACUCCGUGCCAGCAGCCGCGGUACUACGGAGGAUCCGAGCGUUAUCCGGAUUUAUUGGGUUUAAAGGGAGCGUAGGUGGAUUGUUAAGUCAGUUGUGAAAGGUUGCGGCUCCACCGUAAAAUUGCAGUUGAAACUGGCAGUCUUGAGUACAGUAGAGGUGGGCAGAAUUCGUGGUGUAGCGGUGAAAUGCUUAGAUAUCACGAAGAACUCCGAUUGCGAAGGCAGCUCACUGGACUGCAACUGACACUGAGGCUCGAAAGUGUGGGUAUCAAACAGGAUUAGAUACCCCAGGAGUC
rnacentral:rRNA from 1 species